ensembl:lncRNA
CACCCUCCCCCCUCGCCUGGAGGUGUACUGAGCCCAUCCCCCCCCCCCCCCCACGAGGCCCUCAGUGUUCUGUUUUAUGUAGUCUGACUGAGUGAGGAACCCUUCAUCUGAAAUCCCAAAUAGUCAAAACAAAACAUUCAAACAUGACAGGAGUCUGGGGUACUUUAAGGAACAUCUAAACUAAACUGGGGGUUACUUUAAGGAACAUCUAAACUAAACUGGGGGUUACUUUAAGGAACAUCUAAACUAAACUGGGGGUUACUUUAAGGAACAUCUAAACUAAACUGGGGGAGACUUUAAAGAACAUCUAAACUAAACUUGGGGUUACUUUAAGGAACAUCUAAACUAAACUGGGGGUUACCAAAAGCUCAGUUGUCUCGUCUCACAGCUCCUCUCUCACACUGGACCCAUGAAUGACUCAUGAAUGACCCUCGCAGUAGCACACUGUCCCUCACGCUAGCAGGUUUAGAGGCCUCAAACUCUGCUGAUCCACAACGGGGAACUCCAGACCCAAACAGGCUAGCGUAGAGUUAGCGUAGCGUAGCCUAGCGCUAGCCGCGUUUAAGCCAUGUUUACCACAUGAUUUAGUCAGGCAGAAUGUGUCUUCUCCUUGUGCUAGCUCACGUCUGGACAUUGUUCUGUUGUUAGUGUAGUUCUGUUGUUGGUAUAGUUUGUUAUGACUCCAACAUGCGGGUCCUGCCUUAUCAGAGGCUCUCGUGUCCACCUCUGUUUGCUGUUUUUAAAUGUCUUCACCUGUUUACUGUGUUCACUCCUAGAGUAGCCCAUAGAGUUGUGUUUUUGCACCCUCUUGUGGAUCCCUCUGGUAGUGCGGAAUGCCUUGGACAGACUUGAUUUCUUCAGCAGUGACCCCAGACUCGGCUGCCUGGUUGCUAUGCAGCGCCAGUGACCCCCAGACUUGGCUGCCUGGUUGCUAUGCAGCGCCAGUGACCCCCAGACUCGGCUGGCUGGUUGCUAUGCAGUGCCAGUGACCCCAGACUCGGCUGGCUGGUUGCUAUGCAGUGCCAGUGCCUCCUCAGUCGGCUGAGUGUAUGCUGCGUCACGUCCCGUCCCGUCCCGAAGCCCAACCUUAGCUCUUCUCCUCUCUCUGUGUCAGAGACGGGAGUCCUCAGCACUAACUGUCAGCCAUAUAGAACCUCAUCUUCAUGUCAUACUGUUUGGAGAACUUCAUUGCCUUUUGUUCUUUCUGCAGGAGCAGGAGCUCUCUAAAGGUUUAUUUAGUCUCCUGUUCCUAGGCCUCAUACUGCAAUGGUCUCGUGGGUCCAUAUUGUGUUGACAUAUACCAUAUCAACCUAAAGAGUGUCUGUUGUGUUAUGUUGGUAAUGUUUUACAUUAAAGAUUCCUUUAACUAAUAUCAGUGACAUGCCAUGCCAGGCCACAUGAACUUAUACGUGUGUUUGUUUUGUCAGUGUUCAAGUUAUUGGUUUCUUUGUGUUAUUUAAUGCAUUCUGUGUGGUUAGUCAGGGACCCUUAAUAUAAAGCAUUGCUGAACUGCUACAUCGGGAUAUUCAUGAGGUUUCAUAAUGUGAAUGUAUGUACAUGCACCUUGUGUGUGUGUGUGUGUGCCCCCACCCCCCCCCUCUCUCUCUCUGUCUCCUCCCCCCCCUUCCCUGUGUCCUGUCUGUUGGCCUGUCCAUCUUGUUUGUUUAGAUAAAGGGUAGCAUAGGCUAAUUAAUGAUAGCGUUAGCCCUGCUUAGUUGCCUUACAGUCCGGCCAGCCGGAGGCUGCUCUUGUGGUUAGCAUGGGUCCUCUAGCCUGCAUGAGAGAAUGUGCACUCAUGUUCGAUAAUGCAGAUCUUUAAGAUUACUGGCUUACAAAAAAGGAGAGGUUGGAGCUGGGUUGAGGGGUAGCUGAUUAAUGCCCCAGUUUAGGAGAGGUUGUAGCUGGGUUUAGGGGUAGCUGAUUAAUGCCCCAGUUUAGGAGAGGUUGGAGCUGGGUUUAGGGGUAGCUGAUUAAUGCCCCAGUUUAGGAGAGGUUGUAUCUGGGUUGAGGGGUAGCUGAUUAAUGCUCCAGAGUGGGAGAGGUUGGAGCUGGGUUUAGGGGUAGCUGAUUAAUACCCCAGUGUGGGAGGAGUUUGAUAUGUUUUUUGCAGCAUGGUCAGAGAACUCCCUGGCAACCAGUAGACUCUUGUGUGAAUGGCUAAGAAUCACCACUAGAUGCACUGUGGUGACUGUUUGAACUCCUCCUCCGUCACUCAAAGCAGCAGUCCGUCAUUGAGUCCUCUGAGUUCACUGUUUGUUUGUUUGUUUGUUUGUAUCUGCUUUCCUGUUGCUAUUUUAGUGAAGUUUCUGUCCAAAGAUACUGAAGUGAUUUGACUUGACUGAGAGACAGGGCCAAAUGAAUGAGGGCCUCCUGCAGCGUUUGGAGUGAGGUGUGAAAAAAGACUGUGGUUGUUAUGGGAACACUGUUUAACUUCAUGUAGCUGAACUGUGAACGAUGGGCGUUUAAAAUAAUUUAAUAUAGUAAUAAUAAUAAUAAUAAUGAUAUGGUUCCCACUGUUUUCUCCACUCAUACAUGCUGAUGUUAAAGGGCAUUUAGCCGCGCCAGUUGUUCAGAGAAGGAGAAAAGGUUUACAGAAGGGCGGCUCCCAUGGUCGUGCCCACACACACACACACACACACACACACACACACACACACCUGAGACUGGCAGUAGCAUCAGCACAACUGUCUCCAAGAUGACAUGUUUUUUUCUUUUUUUGUGUACUGUCAAUGUUCAGCAUGAAGAGCCAAGUGAGGACGAUCUGAUGUCCACUAAACUAAACUAAACUAAUCUCAUGUAAUCGACACUGUGGGAUUGGUCGCCAUUACCAGGCAGUACUGUUGCUAUUGCUAAUGUAUUUGUUUAAGCUGUUGCUGUUCGCUAUCAUUUCUGUUUCUUUUAUUAUUAUUUUUCUCCAUCUUUGCAGUGUAGCUGUUGUUUCUGUUAUGCAUAAAUUACUUAAUAAACAACAACAACGACAAAUGUUAUCAUAUUUGGAGUGUAUUUCAUUUCCAGUCAGUAUAGCGUGGUCGUGUGUGAUGUGUGAGAGUGAAGCUGGUGACACAGACACACACACACACACACACACACGUAUAGACAGGGUUUGGGAGGUACGCUCACUCUGAUGGUCCUGCUCUGUGAGGUAAAGGGAACACACACACAUAUAUAUAAUGCUAAAUGCCAGCAUAUCUAAACACAUGCAAUACCCCCCUAAUCAACAAAACUGGGCUACAGACAGCAUAUGUUGUACCGUGAAGGAGUGCGACAGAUUCACCAGUCAAUUGGGCACUGUUGUGCACCCUUACAAAGCUUAUGACUAAAAUCUAAAUAAUAUUCCCAUACACCUAGCCAGGCAGCCUCUCUCUCUCUCUCUCUCCUUUCUUAUCACAUUGCUAAUGCCUAUAACAAUACUGAUAAAAUGGCCAUAUUGCCUACUGUUAAAUCUACUACCCAAAGGUAUCUCCUUAUCUGUUUCUGAAAUAGAUGUCUACUAACAAAAAUGUUCUCUCUCCCUUAUAGCAUGUUCCAAUUGCUGAUGGAUGUGGAAACAUUGCUCCUCACCCCCACUACUCCUCAACUACGCAUAUGGACAGCCAAACUCUACCCACUCACUCUGUUCUAUUCUUUCUCUCCUAAUCUAGACUUCUUCGCUAUGGGACGCUGCUGUAGUCUCUUCACCCGAUCUACCUGUAGAAACCCUCGGCAAAUUGCACCCACCGCCACCUGACUGCCGUACACUUACUCUACCCCAUACCCUAUGCUAACAUUUAUAUGCAAUAUAUAUUAUUGCCACCACGACAUGUUUCUCUGUUCCUACUCCCCUUUCCCCUGUAACAGUAACCCUAUGAGCAUCAGUGUUAGGAAAGCUCACUUUCUACAUGAACUAGUUCAGUUCAUAGUUCACACAUUUUAAAAUGAACUAGUUCAGUUCAUAGUUCAUAAUUAAAAAGUUUGAACUAAGUUCACAGCU